ACCUACGGGACGCAGCAGUGAGGAAUAUUGGUCAAUGGGCGCGAGCCUGAACCAGCCAAGUCGCAUGAGGGAGGACGGCCCUACGGGUUGUAAACCUCUUUUGCCGGGGAGCAACGGGCGUCACGUGUGGCGCCACUGAGAGUACCCGGAGAAAAAGCAUGGGCUAACUCCGUGCCAGCAGCCGCGGUAAUACGGAGGAUGCGAGCGUUACCCGGAUUUAUUGGGUUUAAAGGGUGCGUAGGCGGAUCGUUAAGUCAGUGGGCAAAUUGAGGGGCUCAACCCCUUCCCGCCAUUGAAACUGGCGG
rnacentral:rRNA from 1 species